GUCCCUGUAGAUCAAGGCAGAUCAUCCCAGCUCAAUAAGGCUUAUAGUGACAAAUUUGUUGGGACGCCGGCGGUUCGACUCCGCCCGGGGACA